rnacentral:rRNA from 1 species
AGCGAACGCUGGCGGCAGGCUUAACACAUGCAAGUCGAGCGGGUGUAGCAAUACAUCAGCGGCAGACGGGUGAGUAACGCGUGGGAACGUACCUUUUGGUUCGGAACAACACAGGGAAACUUGUGCUAAUACCGGAUAAGCCCUUACGGGGAAAGAUUUAUCGCCGAAAGAUCGGCCCGCGUCUGAUUAGCUAGUUGGUAGGGUAACGGCCGACCAAGGCGACGAUCAGUAGCUGGUCUGAGAGGAUGAUCAGCCACAUUGGGACUGAGACACGGCCAAAACUCGUACGGGGGGCAGCAGUGGGGAAUAUUGGACAAGGGGGGCAACCCUGAUCCAGCAAUGCCGCGUGAGUGAUGAAGGCCCUAGGGUUGUAAAGCUCUUUUGUGCGGGAAGAUAAGGACGGUACCGCAAGAAUAAGCCCCGGCUAACUUCGUGCCAGCAGCCGCGGUAAUAC